rnacentral:sRNA from 1 species
GUCAAUAACCCUCCACUUAGCCCGACGGCUUGAAGUGGGGGCUUGUGAAAACAAGCUCAGAUUGACUAGCUUAAGUGCUAUGCGCACUACGUUAAGAGAGAAUAUAUAGUUACCCGUGGGCGUAUUACCUAACCUGCGGCUCUA